rnacentral:rRNA from 1 species
CCUUCGGGGAGUGCAUAAAGUGGCGCACGGGUGAGUAACACGUAAGUAAUCUACCCUCGGGUGGGGAAUAACAUCGGGAAACCGAUGCUAAUACCGCAUAAUGCAGCGGCACCGCAAGGUGACAGUUGUUAAAGAUUUAUUGCCUGGGGAGGAGCUUGCGGCAGAUUAGCUAGUUGGUAAGGUAACGGCUUACCAAGGCGACGAUCUGUAUCCGGUCUAAGAGGACGGUCGGACACACUGACACUGAAUAACGGGUCAGACUCCUACGGGAGGCAGCAGUCGGGAAUUUUGGGCAAUGGGGGAAACCCUGACCCAGCAACGCCGCGUGAAGGAUGAAGUAUUUCGGUAUGUAAACUUCGAAAGAAUAGGAAGAAUUAAUGACGGUACUAUUUAUAAGGUCCGGCUAACUACGUGCCAGCAGCCGCGGUAAUACGUAGGGACCAAGCGUUGUUCGGAUUUACUGGUCGUAAAGGGCGCGUAGGCGGCGCGGUAAGUCACUUGUGAAAUCUCUGAGCUUAACUCAGAACGGCCAAGUGAUACUGCAGUGCUAGAGUGUGGAAGGGGCAAUCGGAAUUCUUGGUGUAGCGGUGAAAUGCGUAGAUAUCAAGAGGAACACCUGAGGUGAAGACGGGUUGCUGGGCCAACACUGACGCUGAGGCGCGAAAGCCAGGGGAGCAAACGGGAUUAGAUACCCCGGUAGUCCUGGCCCUAAACGAUGAAUACUUGGUGUCUGGAGUUUUAAUGCUCCGGGUGCCGUCGCUAACGUUUUUAGUAUUCCGCCUGGGGAGUACGCUCGCAGAGU